rnacentral:tRNA from 1 species
GAGGGUAUAGCUCAAGUGGUAGAGCACAUGCCUAGCAUGCCUGAGGCCCUGGGUUCAAUCCCCAGUACCUCUG